AAUUUGAAUCCUCAGUACCAACGCUAUUAGGUUCAGCCUCUCGAGGGAGGGCCGGGCGCAGCUGCCCAGUGCCCAAUUACUUUUUUGGGCCAAGCAAAAUCAAUAUCACCGUCCUCUUUAAACCUCCUCGGUGUAAGCCCCUCCCACUACGUUUUUGCAUCGACUCUUCGCGCGGCUUCCCAGUUCCCACCACAGAAUUCUUCCACUGAGGCGAAGAGAUUGAGCCGAUUCAAUCGGCUGUAACGAUAUCCUUCACUUCCAUGGGAUUGCCAAGGUUUGGGCGUCCGAAGGGUUUUGAAGGCGAUUCGAGUCCCAACCUUUACGUGGCCAACUGUGGGCCGGCAGUGGGACUUUCUUACGACUCCAUUGCCUCAGUUUUCAGUGCCUUUGGGGAACUCAAAGGUGUCUUUGCGGCUGACGACAGUGGUGCCCGUGUUAUUGUCUCUUAUCGUGAUGAGAGUUCCGCCACAGCUGCAUUGGAAGCAUUUGAUGGACACCCUUGUCCUGACCUUGGAGGCCGUUCGUUGCACAUCCGGUAUUCAGUACUUCAACCCACUUCACAGGGGCAGGUUAGUGACUCAGUUCCAGUAUCGCUGAUGGCUUCUGAGUUGAACAUUCCUGGCCUUUACUUAUUGCAGGACUUUGUCACCAUCAAAGAAGAGGAGGAAUUGCUUGCAGCCAUUGAUGCUAGGCCUUGGAAAAGUCUUUCCAAAAGAAGGGUUCAGCAUUAUGGCUAUGAAUUUUGCUAUGAAACUAGGAAUGUUAAUACGAGACGGAAAUUAGGUGAACUUCCCUCAUUCGUUUCCCUCAUUCUUGAAAGGAUCUCAUCGUUUCCGAAUCUUGAUGAUUCUGCCAAUAUAGUUUUGGAUCAAUUGACGGUUAAUGAGUACCCAACUGGGGUGGGCUUGUCUCCUCACGUAGACACCCAUUCUGCAUUUGAAGGAUUUAUAUUCAGCCUUUCAUUGGCAGGGCCUUGCAUAAUGGAGUUCAGGCAAUAUGCUGAAUGUGCUUGGCUUCCUAACCAUACCUCAAGCCCCAGUAUGAAAAUGCAAAGUCCUGAAGAUGACAAAAGUUUCUUAAGGAGGGCAAUCUAUCUUCCCCCACGGUCCAUGCUUCUAUUAUCUGGGGAGGCUCGUUAUGCUUGGCAUCAUUACAUUCCACACCACAAGAUUGAUUUGGUAAAGGACAGCGUGAUCAGGAGGGGUUCAAGGAGGGUGUCUUUCACGUUUCGUAAGGUUAGAACGGUCCUUGCCAAUGUGAAUUUCCCAAGUAUUGUGAUUCCCAGAGAUGAGAAGACUGGUUUUAUACUGGUUGAAAAUCAAAGCCGGACAAUUCAAUGCUCAAGCGUCUACGUCCCAACAAUCAUAAUUGUUUGUAGGAAAUCGUUAGUCUUGAGUCUUGACUCUAGAGCGACACGAUUGGAGUUGGACUCAUUAUCAAAGAUGAUACAUUCUCCUAGUUUCCGAGGAUCGCACAGAUUAUUCCUUCGCUUAACAGUAGAUAUUUGGUUCACUUGUCUUGCAAGAGAAAAUCAUCUUUAUUUACCCAAGUCUCCAGUCACGAAAAAUAACUUAUAUAAACAAAUAUGCUAAUGCUCAAAUGCUAAUUGAUUAUUCCCAUUCUGAUGGCAUGGUUACUUUUGACUCUUCCCUCACUAUUCUUCACUUUUUGUGACAUAGGCACCUCCAAUCAAAAGGUCAUUUAAGCCCAUACCUCCCCCUUCCAGAAGUCUAGAGUCGUGCAACACACACUUCACUUCAUUUCAUCACGUUUCCACCCUGUUCUUAGAGAGAAACCCUUAAGAGCUCUCUCAGACAAAUUUCUGAGUCGUUUUGCAUGGUGUUUUCAACCCCUUCUAAGUACUUUCUCAUAAUGAC